AACCACCCAAGGCAGAACCCAUAGAACUAGAGGAUGAAGCAAGUGGGCCCACUCAAAGCCAGCCACCUUCCAGAUCCACUCAGAGCCAGCCACCUCUAAGAUCCAGGAGAAAGAGGCAAAGACUCAGCCAAAAUGAUGAUGCAGAAACCGCAGGAUGUAGUUCUCAGGCUGCAUCACAAGCUGAUUCUGAUAUGAGAAGAGUAACUAGGAGUUCUGCACGCCUGAGGUGAAUGUAGAGGGGC
rnacentral:lncRNA from 1 species